rnacentral:rRNA from 1 species
GACGAACGCUGGCGGCGUGCCUAAUACAUGCAAGUAGGACGCAGUUGCGAACGGGUGAGUAACGCGUAGGUAACUGCCUAUUAGAGGGGGAUAACUAUUGGAAACGAUAGCUAAUACCGCAUACUAGUAGAUGGACCUGCGUUGUAUUAGCUAGUAGGUAGGGUAAUGGCCUACCUAGGAAACGAUAGAUAGACGAACUGGGAGGGGUAUCGGCCACACUGGGACUGAGACACGGCCCAGACUCCUACGGGAGGCAGCAGUAGGGAAUCUGCGGCAAUGGGGGGAAACCUGACCGAGCAACGCCGCGUGAGGUAAGAAGGUUUGCGGAUCGUAAAGCUCUGUUGUUAAGGAAGCGGUACUUAAUCAGCAAGGGACGGCUAACUACGUGCCAGCAGCCGCGGUAAUAC